CUGCGUCACAUUAGUUAGUUGGUGGGGUAAAGGCCUACCAAGACUAUGAUGUGUAGCCGGGCUGAGAGGUUGAACGGCCACAUUGGGACUGAGACACGGCCCAAACUCCUACGGGAGGCAGCAGUAGGGAAUUUUCGGCAAUGGAGGAAACUCUGACCGAGCAACGCCGCGUGAACGAUGAAGUAUUUCGGUACGUAAAGUUCUUUUAUUAGGGAAGAAUAAAUGAUGGAAAAAUCAUUCUGACGGUACCUAAUGAAUAAGCCCCGGCUAACUAUGUGCCAGCAGCCGCGGUAAUACAUAGGGGGCAAGCGUUAUCCGGAAUUAUUGGGCGUAAAGGGUGCGUAGGCGGUUAAAUAAGUUUAUGGUCUAAGUGCAAUGCUCAACAUUGUGAUGCUAUAAAAACUGUUUAGCUAGAGUAAGAUAGAGGCAAGUGGAAUUCCAUGUGUAGUGGUAAAAUGCGUAAAUAUAUGGAGGAACACCAGUAGCGAAGGCGGCUUGCUGGGUCUUUACUGACGCUGAGGCACGAAAGCGUGGGGAGCAAACAGGAUUAGAUACCCUGGUAGUCCACGCCGUAAACGAUGAGUACUAAACGUUGGGUAAAACCAGUGUUGAAGUUAACACAUUAAGUACUCCGCCUGAGUAGUACGUACGCAAGUAUGAAACUUAAAGGAAUUGACGGGACUCCGCACAAGCGGUGGAUCAUGUUGUUUAAUUCGAAGGUACCCGAAAAACCUCACCAGGUCUUGACAUGCUUCUGCAAAGCUGUAGAAACACAGUGGAGGUUAUCAGUUGCACAGGUGGUGCAUGGUUGUCGUCAGCUCGUGUCGUGAGAUGUUGGGUUAAGUCCCGCAACGAGCGCAACCCUUAUUGUUAGUUACCAGCACGUAAUGGUGGGGACUUUAGCAAGACUGCCAGUGAUAAAUUGGAGGAAGGUGGGGACGACGUCAAAUCAUCAUGCCCCUUAUGACCUGGGCUACAAACGUGAUACAAUGGCUGUUACAAAGGGUAGCUGAAGCGCAAGUUUUGCGUUCGUGG
rnacentral:rRNA from 2 species